rnacentral:rRNA from 1 species
UACGAACCGUGCGAACGUUAUUCGGAAUCACUGGGCUUAAAGGGCGCGUAGGCGGGCCCGCAAGUCAGGGGUGAAAUCCCACGGCUCAACCGUGGAGGUGCCUUUGAUACUGCGGGCCUGGAGGGAGGUAGGGGCGUGCGGAACUUCCGGUGGAGCGGUGAAAUGCGCAGAUAUCAGGAGGAACACCAGCGGCGAAGGCGGCAUCCUGGACUGGUCCUGACACUCAGGAGCGAAAGCGUGGGGAGCGAUCCGG